rnacentral:tRNA from 1 species
GCCUGGGUGGCUCAGCAGUUGAGCAUCUGUCUUUGGCUCAGGGCAUGAUCAUCAGGAGUCCUGGGAUCAAGUCCCACAUCAGGCU